CCAAACGAGACCUAAGUGUUUCAAUGUACUAUAGCGAGCAUCGAAAAUUGGGAGCAAGCAUCAAAAUUGUAAGGUGGAGGCCCAAAUCUAAUUGUAAGCCCGCGUUGGCAAGGCCGUCGGACACAUUUUAUUACACUCUGUUUUGACGACCAAGCAACAAGAAGGGCGUCGGAGCGGCUGAUUUUGUAUCAAACCUGACGAUUGUAUUUGGAAGCUCUCAUUCUGUCGUCGGCUUUGCUUUAAUCUCUAUUAUCGGAGGAGAUGAAGAAAGGGAUGCACCCUCAGAUGCAAUGGAUAUCUUACGUGACACAGAGUGGGAGAUUGAUGCAGGUUAUGAUGCCAAAGAUCCACCACGCUGGUAAAGUCUACCACUUGAAGGCGAAACGCCAAAUGGCUGAGCAUAUGAGCCAGAUGGCCAAGUUUAGGCAGCGUUACGAGAAGCAGAUUGCUCCGAGAGAUAAACCGUGAUUGCUAAGUCAACGUGCCUAUGGAUUGAAAAGGUUUGGAUUCUUUGACAACUUUGUUUCGGAAUAAAGAUGAACUUGCUUUGUGAGAUUUUAAGCACUUGUGCCUUGCCACUCUAUGUUUUGUUUAACUUGGAGAAAAGUUUAAGUUUCUGUUUAAGUCAAAGGGAAAAGUUGAUAAAGUCUUUCAUGCUAAUCACUGUUGAUAUUCUAUCAGAAGUAGAAUUAAUCUGGAUUUGGA